CAAUAGCGUAUAUUUAAGUUGCUGCAGUUAAAAAGCUCGUAGUUGGAUUUCGGGUGGGAAUGGCCGGUCCGCCGUUUCGGUGUGCACUUGCUACGCCCACCUUGCUGCCGGGGACGUGCUCUUGAGUUCACGCUCGGGACACGGAGUCGGCGAGGUUACUUUGAGUAAAUUAGAGUGUUCAAAGCAGGCCUACGCUCUGAAUACAUUAGCAUGGAAUAACACGAUAGGACUCUGGCCUAUCUUGUUGGUCUGUAGGACCGGAGUAAUGAUUAAGAGGGACAGUCGGGGGCAUUCGUAUUUCAUUGUCAGAGGUGAAAUUCUCGGAUUUAUGAAAGACGAACAACUGCGAAAGCAUUUGCCAAGGAUGUUUUCAUUAA
rnacentral:rRNA from 1 species